GAGUCUCAGAGAAGUAUGGCUCCAGGUCCUGCAUGGAUCCCAGUCAGCUAAAGCAAGCUUUCUGCUUUAGUGACCCUGUUCCAAUAUUGUUCCUGGUAUAUACAGCUUUCUACUUUAGUGACCCUGUUCCAUUGUUUCUGGACCUGGUACAGAAUCACUUCAGUUAUAAGUAACGCAUGUGCAAGUUUUGUUCAAGCUACAUUUUGCUCGCUUUUAUUAGGCAACGAAGCUUUAACACCGAAAGCUGCCACUAUUAGAAGUACUGACUUGUUGUGUGGAGGCUACCCAUGCUGUAAACGCAGUGCUAGAGCAUCCAGGGACCAUAGUUAUGACACCAGAGAAGUCUCAGGAGAUGAUCUGGCCUCUAUAAAAACAUGAGAGUAGUGUCUCAUAAUUUUACAUGCUGCAAAACUACUGAUCCAUGAUUGCCUGAAGAUUUCUUAUACCUAUAUUAUACUCAAACACUCUAAAUGUUGGAAGGACCUGCGAGAAAAGUGUUGUUUCGUUUACAUUGCUACUAUUUACAGCUCUCGUAUCUAUUGCAUGCAUGUUGCUAAUAAUUACGUCCGACACCUUGCAGCUUGGAUUGGGCUUGGCUGGUUUCACUAUUCUACCGUAUACACGUAUACGAGAGAUCGAGGUUAAACAGACUCGGUCACAGCAAAGUAAUUCUCCAAAAAUAAAUAAUUGUUGAAGUCCGAGUAUUGUGCAAAGAUGACUGAGUUCUUACGCCCUUUAUUGUAUCAAGCCAAGUCUCUACUUAACGACACCCUACACUGUAAGGCUACAGAUGUUAUAGGAACGGCAUGAUGUGUUCCUGUGGGUCCCCUGAUGAGGCUGUGGUAAUAUAGACCAGGCAAGUGUUCUGCUACUAAAUCUUGCCUUUAUGUUCGACAAGAAGUCAUUGCUGAAGAUAAAGAAGCUAAUAAUUACUCCUGAAAGCUUUUAAUAAGCUUUAACUCGACACUCAGGAAGUUAUUCACUCAAGAUCUACUGAUGUAUUAAAAAGUCCACCACUCUUCCUAGCUGGCAGCUCUAGCUGUCUGGGAGGUUUUCUUGAACUGUCUCUUUGAUAAACAGAGCUAGAAGAAGCAACACUGAACUGCUGCAGUAUAAUUAUUCUAUUUUGAUUAGUGUCUCUGAAAGCUGCCAUUGUGGUCACAUUGUCAUACCCUUUUGUAUAAAUUUGGCCGUUUUUUUACAAUUUGUAUGAUGAAAUUGUUGUCAAUUAUUUCGCGCAUGCGCAUACAAGGUAUAC